GGGGCCGUAGCUCAGUUGGGAGAGCGGCUGGUUCGCAAUCAGCAGGUCGCCAGUUCAAGCCUGGCCGGCUCCA
rnacentral:tRNA from 1 species